rnacentral:rRNA from 1 species
AACGAACGCUGGCGGCAGGCUUAACACAUGCAAGUCGAGCGCCCCGCAAGGGGAGCGGCAGACGGGUGAGUAACGCGUGGGCAUCUACCUUUUGCUACGGAAUAACGCAGGGAAACUUGUGCUAAUACCGUAUGUGCCCUUUGGGGGAAAGAUUUAUCGGCAAAGGAUGAGCCCGCGUUGGAUUAGCUAGUUGGUGGGGUAAAGGCCUACCAAGGCGACGAUCCAUAGCUGGUCUGAGAGGAUGAUCAGCCACAUUGGGACUGAGACACGGCCCAAACUCCUACGGGAGGCAGCAGUGGGGAAUAUUGGACAAUGGGCGCAAGCCUGAUCCAGCCAUGCCGCGUGAGUGAUGAAGGCCUUAGGGUUGUAAAGCUCUUUCACCGGUGAAGAUAAUGACGGUAACCGGAGAAGAAGCCCCGGCUAACUUCGUGCCAGCCGCCGCGGUAAAAC